CCUUCCCUGCUCAGGUGCGGUUCAACGUGGAGAAAGAUUGUCUUCCUCUACCUGAGAGCGUUUUCAAGAAGGCAAUACAAGAAAACUAUAAUGAGAAAAAGAAGUUCAAAACAGAACUUACAGUUCGACAAGUCAGGAAGCUCACAUCACUUUGCCG